GACGACUUCAACUGCUUCUCCCUGGAAUGAUUUCUCCCUCGCAGUCUGCCUUUGUCAAAGGAAGAUUACUUGUGGAAAAUGUUUUGUUGGCAACAGAGCUUGUUCAGGGGUUUGAAGGGAAGAACGUUUCUCCGCGUGGCCUUCUUAUGGUGGAUAUCUGGAAAGCUUUCGAUUCUGUGAGUUGGGAGUUUAUACUUCAGAUUUUUGAGGCAGCUGAGUUCUCGAGCAUGUUUACCAAUUGGAUGAAAGAGUGCAUAACCACACCCCAGUUUUCUAUAAAUGUGAAUGGUGAUCUAUGUGGCUACUUUAAGGGAAAACGUGGACUGCGCCAGGGUGACCCUCUCUCCCCUGCUCUUUUUGUCAUCGCGAUGGAGAUUUUUUUCAACUCUUUUGACAUCAGAGUUUGACAAAGGAAAGAUUGGCCUUCCCCCUCUUGCCAGGUGUCUGAAAAUCACUCAUCUUUCCUUUGCUGAUGACCUGAUGAUAUUUUUCGAUGGCACAGUGAAGUCUCUUGAGGGAAUCUCCUCUGUCCUGGAUCGCUUUCACAGCCUCUCGGGGUUAGGCUUAAACAAGGAAAAAUCGGCUCUCUUCCAUGCGGGAUUGAAUAUUGGGGAUCAGACUACUCUUAAUGGCCUUGGUUUCCGAAAUGGCGUUUUCACAGUCAGGUAUCUCGGUCUUCCGUUGAUUAGUAAAAGGCCCCGUAUCUCUGAGUACUCUCCACUCCUUGAUAAACUCAGGGGGAAGCUCACUGGCUGGUCUGUCAAAUGUCUAUCUUAUGCUAGUCGGCUCCAACUUAUAACCUCUGUUAUCUACAGUCUGGUCAAUUUCUGGAUGUCUGCCUUCGCUCUUCCUACUGGUUGUCUAAAUCUGAUUGAGAAAAUGUGUAAAAGUUUCCUCUGGUCUGGUGAUGUUUCCAAAAGAGCGGCGUCAAAGGUCGCUUGGAAGUCUAUUUGCUUGACGAAGAAUGAAGGAGGUUUGGGACUUAGAAGCUUCAAAGCAUGGAAUAAGGCUCUUAACCUGCGUUUGGUAUGGCUUCUCUUCUCCAACAAUGUCUCUCUUUGGGUUUGUUGGAACAGAGAGCAUAGGCUUAAACGCAUCAACUAUUGGCUUGCUGAAGAGAGAAGUAAUCACUCAUGGAUUUGGAAGUUCUUAUUAGGCCUCCGACCUCUUGCCAAGCUUCUGAUUGGGUGCGAGACUGGCGAUGGAUGUUCUGCAAGCUAUUGGUGUGACAACUGGUUAGCUCUUGGUCCGUUAAUUGACUACAUUGGCCACGCGGAGCCCCGGAAACUUGGUCUUCCCAUCGAUGCGCAUGUUUCUAAUGCGGUCUCUGCUGACGGGAGCUGGCGUCUCCCUAGUGAGAGAUCGAGGAGCUUGGAAAUUAGAGACCUGCGAAAUACUCUCAUUUCCACUGUCCCGCCUCAGACAAGCAACGGACCUGAUGUCUUUACAUGGGGUAUUGAAGGUUCUCGUCGCCACCAAUUCUCGACUAAGUGCACCUGGGAUUUUCCAAGGCCGAGUGCUCCCAUGGUUACCUGGUUCAAAACGGUUUGGUUCAAGCAUGCUAUUCCACGCCAUGCCUUCCACUUCUGGACUGCAAACUUGAACAGGCUUCCAACCAAGGAUCGGAUGAUACUAUGGGGUGUCAACGUCUCUGAGGUUUGUGGCCUCUGCAACCUUUCUCCUGAAUCUCGUGAUCACAUCUUCCUCGCCUGCCCUUUCUCGCUCCAGGUCUGGGACAGAGUUCUUCAGCGCUUUGAGGUUACUCCCUCAAUUUUCACUUCUUGGCUAUCUCUUCUCCUGUGGAUUAGGAUGCCAUCCAGAUCGUUCUCUAUGACCCUGAAGUGUUUGGCUGCCCAGGCAACAGUCUAUCUCCUUUGGCAUGAGCGCAACAGCAGGAUCCACACCCAGGUUUCCUUAACGGUGGAGGCUCUUUUCAGGAAAAUCGAUCGAACCGUGAGAGACUCUCUUCUUGCCCGCCUCCGGAAACGAGGCUGCGAGAAGCUUCUCUCUCAAUGGUUCACCCACGCCUGAUCAUCUGCAUCUUGUAAUCUUGUUCCCGCUCUAGUUUUUAUGGCUUUUUAUUAUUUUUUGGGUCUGAAGCUGCUGGUUUUGUCUAAAGUAUUGUAAUUAAACGCGUGUUCCUUUUGGUAAUAUAUUCACAUUUUAUCAAAAAAUUUUGAAUUGAACUCAGCUCUAGCAAGUGAAAACCUUUAAACUGAACUCUGAAUUAUCUUGUGAUGCAUUUUUUGAAUGAGCAUUGUGGGUACUCAUAUACAUAUUUGAGCUAGAACUCGUUUUUACCACUCUUUUCCUUAGCUCAAAUAGCUGAUUCCACUCUUUGGAUCAGUUUCCACAUCCUGAACCCAACCUUCUUUCAAGCCAAAACGUUUUGUGAGUGUUGUGAGGCCACCUUGGAUCAAACUUAGCAGAAAGUGUUAGGUUUAGAUUGACAAGGGUAAGUCUCAAAGUGUCUAGUUCCAUCAUCAAGGAACUACUAGGUCUAGGCUGUGAAUAAAUAGGGGGGGGGGGGAGAGGUUUCUUUGUGUGAGUCUUUUGAGAGAAAUGUUUUUGAGAGAGAAAAGAGAAAGAAAUAUAAAAAUGAGAGUGAUGAAAAGUGAGGGUUUAAAAAUAAAAGAAACCGGUUUUGGGUCUUGUGUUUUAAAGAGAAAGAAAGCUCUAAGUGUUUAAAAGAAGGUAUCUAACCUCUGAGUGAAAAGAAAAGAAAGAAAAGAAGCCAAAACAGCUCAUGUGUCUAAAGUGAUGAGUGAAGAGGUUAAAUAAUUCAAAGUGUGAAAAGAGUUGUGCGUAAAGUAAGAUCCCAAACCGAGUGUCUCAAAGUGAAAAAGAAAACCCUUUGAGAGAGUAAAAUGAGUGUGAAGAGAGUUCUGAGGUCUAGUGUGAGAGUGUGAGUUAGAGGCAUCUUAGGUAAAGGGGGUGAGUUGAGUCUUGCCCUUGUAUGCAUCGGUUCCUCCUUACCUUUAGCCUUCUGCCAAAGUUUGAUCAUUCAUUGAGAGAUCCCCUAGUUCCAUUGAACCUGCUUGUGCAUUGAAUGAGAUCAUUUUAGUCUAAUAGCCUCAUCCUUAGCCAAACUUUGCUUCACAUGGUAAAGAGCUUAAUGAAUGUCAAAGAGCUAAGGAACAAGAAAACUUGUGGAGAUCAUUGUUGAGUUUUAAGCAUCAAAGUAAAGUCUUGCAUUGCAUGUUAGAAUUGGUGGCUUGGACCCUGAAUCUCUUUGUGGUUACUUCUCUCUUCCCAUAGGAAAUAUGAACUCUCAAGUAUUCAACCUCUCUCUCUCUCAUUUGUUCUUUUUGCUUGAGGACAAGCAAAGGACAAGUGUGGGGGAGUUGAUAUGCUCAUAAAUUGCAUCAUUUAGCUUGCAUGUUUUAGUCCAAAUCAUGUCUUGUUUCAUGCAUUUUAAGUACUUAAGCAUUGUUUUAGGACUUAGGGAUUGCAUUAGGUCUCAAUGAGUCUUUGCAUGGUUUCGAGUCGUAAACAGGUACUUUUGAAGCUGUUUGGAGCAGAAGAGAUGUUACCAGGAGUUGAAAUGGUGGAGAAAAGGGUCAGAAAUGGUGAAAAUUUCCUAAAGGAGUCUAUCGGCAAGAUCGUGUACCGCAGGAAGCAGAAUCUUGGCUAAAAUCGGCCAAAUUGUGUACCGGAACUGAGGGUUUGAUAACACUGUAUUUUGACCACUUUUAUGGAUUAUAAUUAUGUCUUAUGCAGGUUUUUUAACUCUGUUUUCAAUGGUUUUAAAAAAAUUUCAAUGUUUUAGAGUUUCAAGACUUUUCAGGAAACUUGGGCAAAAGAUAUGCAAAUUGUAACAAAUGAGCAAUUUUGGAUAAAUGCAGACCGUCAGAAGUAUGACAAGCGAUGAAGACCUUCUCACCAUCUGAUCACCCCCAAAAUUUGUGACAACAUAGUGGAUACAACCAGCUUUCUAAUGCACUUUGUUUGGAGACAAUCGAACGGUUAGAUCUUCAGAUAUACACGAUGUAAUAAAGACAGAAAAUGCAGUCUUGGAAGAUGACACAAGCUGGGACGGCGGCCAAGCCUCAUUUCCCCGUGGGUAGAAGCACCGCGACCGUGGCCAGUAGUCGUUCACUUCCCAGACGACUUAAUUAAAGCCCAGAUCAAUUCCUUUCGUUAUUUUUGAAGCCCGAAGUGUCCAGGACGACUUCAGAAGUUAUAAAUACCCCCUUUAGGUCAUUCUAAAGAGGAGGACCAAAAAUUUUAGACAGAAGGAGAGAGAGUUCGUGUGUGCCUCACAAACCCUAGGAGCCGCCGUCUUUGAAGGAGGAGCCGCCGCUGGAGAGCAUCAUCCCGCCUCCACCGUCGCCUCUGUUCUUCGUUCUUCUUCCCUGUUUUCUUUAAUUUUCUGCAACUUUCAAUACUCUAUGAUGCUUUGUUACAAUAUGUUUAAGUAGUUUCCUAGUUGGUUUUAAAGGGAGUUUUCAAAGAGAAUUUCAUGUGUCUUCUUCUAUGAAUCGAUAGAUUUAGGAUUUAUAAUCUUCUAGAUGUUCUUCGUUUGCCUUUGAUUCUACUACGUUAUUCUCUGCUGGCCACUUAGAAGCCGAUCUGAUAUGAUUUGUUGUGAAAGUUUUCAUUCAUUAUCUGACCUAGGGUAAAACGAGCAAUGAUUCUAUAGGAGUGGAAACCUACCUAUAUUUGAGUUGUGAAUGUUGAUGAGUCUUGUUCAAUUAUUGCAUCUUCUCCCUUCCAGGAUCAGAGUAGAAACCUAGUGAUCAGGGUUGCGAGAGAUAGUUGUUUAGUGCUGCGAAAGUAUACUAUUCAUACUUCUGUGCCUCGAGUUCUAAAACAUACGUAGUUGAUUACCUUUAUCAUUUGCUUAAAUUCGACAUAGUUUAGUCCAUGUAUCCCUGCAAAUACCCUUGAGCCCAACGUUUUUUUUUAAUUGUUUACAGCCUUCGAUUUCCAUUCUACUUUCAUUCGAUUUUUACUUGCUUUUAUUUGCUGUUGUCUUCAAUUGCUUUUAUUUGCCUUGCUUUUUAGUUUAGAUUUAGUGACAAGCAAAACCCAAAACCAAAACUCAAACAUGUUUAGUUCUAGUCUGAUUUAAGCAUUAUCGUGAAUUCAUACUGAAACAACUAAGUCUCUGUGGAUCGAUACCCUAAGUACUACAGCGCACAUCUGUGCACUGCAGACAACUGACCAACCCCGUUUUUUCUCCCAUCAGGGUUAUCGGGUAAAACUUUAUGCCGAGACGGGUUUAGAUCUGUCGGCUAAAAAGCUUACCGCAGGAAGAGAUUCUCGACCAUUUUCCUUACUACGGUACAUAAGCUCUCAGCUAAAACCUAUUUACACCGAUACGCACCAAAGAUUACCUGUCCGGAAAAGCUUCCAGUCUGAUUCAGCUGUUGGGGUCUUCAUCAAAGUCGGAGAAGAUCAAGCCAUGGUUCCAGGACAGUUGGAAUUACUGAAUUCGGAGCAGUGAGAAGAAAGUUAAGGCCACCAGGAGACACACCUGUCUUGCUUCUAUUUUAAGCCGAUCCGAUGGACUUCAGAGAUUACGUGGGACAAUGCCUUUCCAGACCGAUUCAGUCUCCGAGGGCUUCAUCAAGAUUCAAUAUCUUUGAGUGCUUUUUCCAUAACAUCUGAGAUCACCCGAUUUGGAGCAAUGUGCUGAAAGAUAACGUUUCCGUAGUGAACUCAGGUAUAGAAGCUUCUUUCUGAACGUUCCGAUGCACUGCAAAGAUUGGCCGUCCGGGACACUUUCCAUACCGAGGCCUAUUUCCGAAUCUUUUGGUCUAAACCUCGAACUGACUCCUCGGUCAUGCAACACCGAGGCAUGCUUGUUGAAGAAACUAGUCUGAAAACGACUAAGUGUUGAGCUGAGUAUCUAUGCGGUCUGGUUUGAAAUCUUUCUAAGUAUGAAACUGGAUCUCGGCUUCAACCCCUCGACUUUUCACCUCGGCCUCUUCCUUGACAUGACCCCCUCGACCAAAGCCCCUCGGUGUACCCACACCGAGGUGAAUUCCUACCGAAACAAAAUGCUUAAAAACUUGAGCUAAUUCCUCGGCAUGUCUACACCGAGGUACAAUGUUAUCGAAUGAAAUGUGCCAAACCUUGACCUGAGUCCUCGACAUAGCAAAACCGAGGGUACCUUGUCACGAGCCCAGAUCAAGAACAAGAUGCUCUAACAGUCACACCUGAAGAUAGAUCAAAGACUAGGGUUCAUGCAUGUUCUUGGUGAGUUCUUCAUUUCGUCCCAAGUUUACAUGCACCCCUCGGAUUCAACACGUCAGCCUUGGACCUUCACACACCGAGGUGCUCACCCAACUGCCCAAGAAGACCGGUUCAGUACCCGGUUUGUUCUGGGCUGACCUGGAUCACUUAGCUUCACUAUAAAUAGUUUUAGGGACUAAAAACCCUACUUAUCUUUUAUCCUUUUAGAGAACUUGCCUCUUUUGUGUAAAACUUGCUGCAUUAUAAGAGAUAUCUCGUUUUGCAUCAUAAAAUUCUUGUUCUCAUCAUUGCUUUUCAUCAAAUCAAGCUUCUAAUCAUGCUUAACAUCACUUCUUGCAAAACAUCAAGUGUGUUAUCCAUGAUUAGUGAGUAGUUCCCUUAUAAGGUCUUAGAUAGGUAGAUUAGGGUUCUGAAAUGUUAGAUUAGAGAGUUUAAGGGAUAGAUCUUGCAUCAUUCAUUCUCUACAAACUGCUCUCUAUGCUAGAUCCUUGCACAUCACUUGUGGUCUAGAUCAUAAGCACUUUCAUGCACCAAAAGUGUUUGUUGGAAUGCCUGAACCAAGUUUGUUAGAGGUUUAAGUGUCUUUCAUCAUGAUAAUGAUAGUUUGCUCACUUAAAUGACUUAUAAAACUGAUUCUUAAUGCUUGUUAAUUCAUGCUUCUCAAAUGGAAAUUUGGUAUGAAAGAGGAUUAGCAUAGAAGUUUAAUGCCUUCAUUAGAGGAUUAUCUUGUUGAAUGAGUUUAUGUUAAAUGGAUUUGCUUGAUUGUUUGUUCAUUAGCUUUCUAGUCUAGUGUUAAAGCACCCUAAUACAAUAUCCUGUCUAAGGCCUUUGCAUCAUCAUAUCAUAUUCAUAAUCGCUUAUCUUGCUUUGCAUAUUUAGUUGCAUCUUAAUCUUGUUUAAACUCUGUUUUAGAUUAUUUGCUUGUCUUGUUACUAGUUUGAAACCAAAAACUCACUUGUCUUGCUUGAAUUAAGAAACUUUGCAUAUAAGCUAGUGUCUAGAACCCACAAGAUGGAUUGAUACCCUAAAAGCUACAACAGCUAAGGUAUUGGUAACCCAAGGAGCCUUGCAAACUCCUAAUUAUCAGCGCUCAACCGAAAUACAGGAACCGAUGUUUUCCUGUUUCUCAGUAUAUGCAAUUCAGUUCUGCUGCAUAAAUCAUUCAAGUCCAAUCUUGACUUACCAUUGUCUUUUGUUCUUCCCGGCACAUUCAUAACAGUAUACAUGAUGUUAUCAAAAAAGUUUUUCUCAAUGUGCAUGACAUCAAGAUUGUGUCUGAGCAGAUGAUUUUUCCAAUACGGAAGUUGCCAAAAAAUACUUUUCUUGUGCCAAUUAUUAUGAACUCCGUACCCUUCAGGUAUAUUUGCUGGAGUGUGCUAGUUUCCCCCACGAGUUAUCAUUUCCUCUGCCCCCCAAUACUUGAUUUGCGCUUCAAUAUCAGCUUCUAUUAAAUAUACGGGUGGAGGGACACAUACACUUUUAUUCUUCCUAAAUAACCUCUUGUUCCUCCAAUAUGGAUGAUUUUCCGGUAAAAACCUGCGGUGACAAUCAAACCAGCAUGUUUUUUUACCAUGUUUAAGGUAAAACGCAUCAGUUCGAUCAAGACAAUAAGGACAAGAUAACCUCAUGUGUGUAGUCCAUCCUGAUAGCAUACCGUAUGCGGAGAAAUCGCUUAUUUUCCACAUAAGCACAGCCUGCAUAGUAAAAAUUUCCCCUUCGAACGAUUAUAUGUUCGAACACCAGUAUACCACAACUGAUUCAAGUCAUGUAUGAGUGGCUGCAGAAAUACAUAGAGAGAUCGCUUCGGAUGAUUGGGCCAAAAUAUUCAGAAAAAGAAAUUUCCUUUGCAUGCACAUAUCUGGGGAAAAGUUAUAAGGUGUCAAGAUUACUGGCCAUAAAUAAUAUUCUCUACCAGACAUUCCGAAUGGACUAAAACCAUCAGUGCACAGGCCAAGAUAGACAUUCCGUUUGAACUUAGCAAAAUCUGGAUAUACCGUAUUGAAGUGUUUCCACGCUUUUGCAUCUGAUGGAUGAGUAACUUCUCCAUCUACUUGUGUAUGUUCUGCAUGCCAUCUCAUCGAUGCAGCUGUCCUUUCAGAUUGAUAGAGGCGUUUCAACCUAUCAGUUAUAGGAAGAUACCACAUCCGUUGGUAUGGUAUCUUUUUACGCCCAGAAGUUUGCGGCCUGUAUCUUGGUUUUUGGCAAGAAUUUCUCACAUAAGUAUUCAUGUGUAUCCAACCAUUCCCAGAGUUUUUAUUAUUGCUUACAACUUUGAUUUGCUUAGCUGCUUUCUUAGAUCGUGUUUUAUUAUUGCUUGCACCCAUCGAUAUUUACUUGCUUUUUUAGGUAGUUUUUAUUUGCUUAAUUUUCUUAGUUACCAAAAUCUUUUCAAACCAAUAUAGUCUAGACAUAAACUUAGAAAUCGUAGGACAACACUAGGUACACAAAUCUCUGUGGAUUUGAUCCCUAUGUACUACAAUCGAUCAGCUAUGCAUUUGUAGCCUCGUUAUUUUAUUUAGGAUAAAACUUGUUAGGAAACACUCACAUCUCACAUAAGUAUUCAUGUGUAUCCAACCAUUCCUUUACAGAAUUUCUAGCAAAUGAUAAAAAAAAUUGUCUCCAAUGGAUAGUUUUAUUGAAUUUAGGCAUAAGAUAAAUCAGCCAUAAUAUCUAUAAUCUUAAAAGGAAUACAUUUUGAAUAUGCAGAGAAUAUUUGAUUUUGCAUAUAAGCUAAAUCAAUCAUAAUAUAUAUAAUAUUUUAGUCAUUGCAUCCAAAAAUUUCUUAUUUAAAAAAAAAUUCUUUUUAGAAACUCAAUUUAUUUUUAUUUUUUUAAAAUCUGUUAAUUAUACCGAUUUUUCUCUAAUUUUUUAGAAACUUCCAUACUAAAACAAAAAAUAUUUUUAUUAUUUUAUAAUUAGUACUAAUAAAACAUUUAUACAUCAAAAUAAUGAAUAUAAAAUAUAUUUAUUUUAUAAAUGAUUUAUUAUAUUAUCUAAAUUCAAAAAUAAAUGAUUUUAUUAUUAGAUCAAUUUAUACAUGAAAAAUAAUGAAUAUAAAAUAUGUUUUUGAAAUCUAUUAUUUUUAAAAACUGAAUAUAGAGUUAUAAAUUAUCGUUAUUAUGAACGCAAAGAUUACAUAAUUUUUUAACAUAAUUAAGAAAUUUAUAAAUCUAAAUUCAGGUUUUAUCAUUGAAAUGUUGUUAAUAUAAAACAAAAUUAAAGUAUCAAUUUUCAAAACCAUUUUAGUCUCUGCACCCAAACACUCUUUAUUUUUUUUAAAUUUCUGUUUGAAAAGUAACUAAAUAUUAACUCACUUUUAUUUUUAUUUUUGUAAUUAAUUAGUAAUCUGGAUUUUUCUCUUGUUUUUUAAGAAGUAUUAGUAAUAAAAACGAAAUUAAUUCAAUAUUUUUUUGCAAAAAGAUCAAAACAUUAGAAUAAAAUUAUUAAUUUAUUAUUUUCUAACUAUUACUAUAAAAAUGUUUUAGAUAAUCAAAAUUCAAAAAAAUACAUAAUAUAUUAUUAGAUCAAUCUAUACUAGUAAAAGGGAAUCAUUUUUAGUCUAUGCAUCCAAACACUCCUAUUUUUAUUAAAAUCAAAAGUUAUUUGGAAACUGUUUUAAAGAUAAUUCAGUUUGUUUAAACAAAUAUAGAUAUAUAAAAUAAAGUAAUUCCGAAUUUAUGUUAUAAUAUCUUUUAAAAAUUUUCUAUUAGGCUAUUUGUUUCUAGAUAGCUCUCUAAUUGCCAAACAAAUCAAUUUAAUGGAAAUUAAUAAAAUAAUAUAUUUAAGAAGUAUUUAAAAAUAUUUUCUGAAAUUAAAAUUUUAAUUGAAAUUAGUUUGAACUUUCUCAAAUAUUGGCUAGAUUAAUUAUCAAAUUCAGUUGUUAUUAUACCUGACAAUAAAUAUUCAAAUUUUAAUAAUAAUACAGAUAUGAUAAACAAUAUGUUAUUGUAUGUUUUUAUCAUUAUCAAUCAGCCUAAAAUUUUAAAUAUUUAAAAUGAAUAAAUAUUUCUAUUUAUGGUAAUAUAAACAGGCAGGUUAGAUUUAUAAUUGAGUGCUUUUCGAAUUAAUAUAAACAGGUGGGUUAUAAAUAUUUUAUUAUAAUUAUGGUUAUAUUUAAUAGCAAAAAAAUAUAUACAAAAUUAAAAAAUUAUAUCUAAACAUAAAAAUAAAAAUUAAUCACUUAUUAGAAAAUUAUAUUUAAUAAAGAUUUGGGAGCAUAUCCCUGAUGUUAGAUGGCUCUGCACUUGCGAUGGCCUGUGGACCACCCCCGAUGAUUCAGUUUGCAGUCAAACCGAAUUUGGAGAAGAUUAAAUAUAACAUCAAGGAGGAUUUCUUGAUCUUCUAAGCAUUAUUCCAAUAUAUUUUUAAAAUUCAGAAAGUAGUGUGGUCAAUAACCUAGUGUUAUAAUAGAUUCAAAAAUAAGUUUAAAAUAUUUGUUUUGUAUAUAAUGUUGGUUCUUUCAAUUGUGGAAAAUAAUAUGUCCAUUGUAAUUAAGUUUGAUAUUUUUUCAAAAUUGAAAAUCAGUUUUAAUAUUUAAACUCUCCUUUCCGUUUUCUUAAUAUAUAUAUAUAUAUAUAUAUAACUAAUCCGUGUUAGUUUUUAUUCGUUUUGAAAAUGAUCACUGCAGAUGUUGUACUUUCCGUACUAGAAAAGAAAGUACAAUAUUUACAGUAAUCAUUUCCAAAACGAAUAAAAACCAACGCGGAUUAUUUUUUUCUAGUGCAAAUUGAAGCCAAACUCGUCCAUUAUUUCCUCCAUUCCAUUAUCACUGUUAGUUAUAUGCUUUGAAAUAUUAUUGGGCAUUCCAAAAAAACAAAAAACUAUGUUACGAAUUUUUUUAUCUAAACCUUUUAUGUAUAUUUUAGUGAUAUAUUGUUACAUAGGAUAAAUCAUAUAUCAUAAGAUUCAUAACUCUAAGAACUUAGAUAAUGUAUGUAUAGAAAGCGUAUUUGUUUGUAUUUUCAUUAGAAAAAAAAAUGUAAAAUAAUUUUCACACAUAUAAAUUGACUGUUAUGGAAAUUGAAAUUUGAUGUUAGUUCGUUAAGAAUUGAAAACUCAGUACACUAAAUUUGUUAGAAUUUUAUUAAGAAUGGAAGCUUGAAAUAUUUCGAACAAAUUUUUUCGGAUGAUUGAUAAUGCACUUCAUGAUAUUGAUAUAUAUAUAUAUAUAUAUAUUAAUUAAACUAUAUAGUCUGUAUCUCCAGUCCUGGAGGAUCUCAUGUAGAACUAGUCUAGUAUGAUUUUUCUUUCAGUAUAUUAGUGAUGAACAUGAACUGGAGCUUCUUUUUAUUAAUGUGAAAUGCAACGAUAUAUAUAUAUGAGAUUAAGUCAUUGUACACACAAUGAUACAAUUUGUAGUUUCAUGAACCCCACAUCCUUUGGAAGUAAUAAAACUCCCCUAAAUCCAGGAAAAAAAAUUGUUUUAAAUUUAUGAGAUGAUUAGCUCCUUUAAUUGACUCUCAAGUUUGAAUUAGUAAACAGGACAAAUAAUUUGUUUUCCAGAUUUCAAUAUGAAUUGUGAACAUGACAGAAGGCCCGGACGACGUCGAGAAUAUUAUAAAUCAAUGACUUUAAAUAUAAUUUUUAAAAAUCAAAAUCUUAUUAUUAUUAUUUUUUCACACGCAGCUUUGAAUUAAUUAGCGGGUAUGGUAUAAAGAGAGGUAAUCAUUCUUGUCAAUGUAUAUGAACUACCUUGCAAAUAUCAUGCUCUGUUGUCGCAUUAAAUCGUGCGAAUGUUCAAUAUACUUCAACUGAGCUUUAUGUUUCUGAUUAAUUAUCUUUUCGUUGGAUAUAUUUGCUACAUCAUCCUAAGAAAUACUUAUAAAUGAAAAUCACCUUUCACUUUUAGAUAUAUAUGAACAAAUAUCACCCUAAACCCUAAACUCUAAACAGUACUUUCUCAGCCACAGUUAGUCGCUUAUAUUCUCGAAAAGUCCAUCUAGAUUGCAUAGUCUAUCGAGUCUAUAUAUAUUUAGAAUCAUUUCUAUUCAUGUGAAGGAUUGUUGGAAUUAAAUUUUAAUAAGCAAUAGAUCAUGUAAUAUUGAGUAUUCAUGUGAAUGACAAAAUGAAGUUUAAUAAGCAAAUAAGCCUUAUAAAUUCAUUUGAGAUUUGGGUUUGAGUCUAUGGAAAUGAAAUGUUCACAUUAGCUAUAACUAAAAGUGAAAGUGCAAAAGUCCCACAUUGCUUAGCAAGGAGAAAAAGCUCUUGUAUAUAUAUGAUUUUCUCACAAUAAAGGUCAAACAGCUUUGUGGAAGUAAAAAAACAUUAUACGAAACCACCUAUACGUGUCGUCAGUGCCAGUGCCGGUACCGGGCUCAGGCUCGAGUUUGGGCUUCUGCUCAGUGCUCAUUACUCAUUGCUCAUUGUCAUUGCUCAUUGCAUUUUUAGUUGGCUUUUUAGGACUAUUGGGCGAUUGGGCUCUUGGGCUCUAUAUAGUUGGGCGUAGAUCAUGGGCUUCUUGGUUCUUCAGGGAUAAUCUUUUGCAUAAUAAAAAUAUAAAUCUUAGAUAAUUAAAGAUUGCGUUCAGAUAUUUAGGAAAGAUUUUUGAAUCCUUUUACUUGCGAAAAAAGAAGAAUAUCUCACGAAUAUUCCUUUUCCCAAAGCUUAUUCCUUGCAGAUCUAACUAAGUCUUCCAUAUAAAUAGACGCCUCCUCUCUUCUCAUUUGACCUACAAAAAAAAACACAAAAAGCUUAAGAAAAAUAUUCUUCCAACAAAUAUUUCGGCGAUUUAUUGAGUUAAGGAAAGAGAUCAUAUCUCAACUCCAUGUUUCGUCUGUUUUUAAUCGGUUUUCAAAAUCUCAAUUUUUGCGCUUUCCUUAAAAUAUCGUUUAAAUUAUUAUUACUUAUUUCGUGAUUUCAAUUCAAAUUUUUGCGGUCUUACAUAUAUAUUUAAAAAGAAAAAUCGGAUUAAAAAAACUAGGUGUACUGAAUCUUUUGUUUGUGAAACUUCUCUUAUUGGUCGAUCUACUGAUGAGAUGCAGAAAAUAAAAUGUAACCAAACAGUAUUAUAAUAUAUGUACGCUUUGUUGUAUUUGGAUAUUUAAUUAGAAGGGAAGCCUUCGUCGAACAAAGAUUCGACAGAACUCAAAUAGUCUUUUCUAAACAAUUGAACUAACAACGUUGACAAAACAAAUAAAUAAUAAUGAAACUAACAACAUUAUAUAUUGUAAUAUUUGUUAGUACAACUGCAUUUUUCUUUAGUAAAAAUCCAAAAACAUAGCACAAAUUUGACGUGAUAUUUCAAUUUGGUUUUCUGGUAUUGAGAUUAUUUUGCUAUUUGUUACUUGCUUGAGAUUAAUGGAUAGUAUUUUGCUAUUUGCUUGAAACAAUCAAACUCUCUUUUCUUUUGCUAUGAAAUGUGUAUAUUCCAUUUGAAUCUUUCAAUCAGAUGCUCUUAUGUCAAGUGCGCUUCUUUCAUUUGUUACAGCCUAUAGAAAGUCUAAAUUUUUUAGUUGGAGAAGAAUGUAUUAAUACAUUGUAAAUAAAAGUUAAUGAGCAAUGUGCACAAAGGUUUUUGUACUAUUUUUAAAAACAUUGUAUGAAAGGUAUAUAUUUUGUAGUUGCUAUAUUUGAUAUGAAAAUUCAAACCAUGAUUUUUUUUUUUUGCUUCUUUACUUUUUGGUAUUGAGACGAUUUUGUUAUUUGUUAUUUACUUGCACAGACCAUCGAAAAAACACUCUAUAUUUUGUUUAUAUAAGUAUCAAUAAACCAAAGUUGCUAUAUUUUUACUAAAGCAUAGACUUUCUUUAUUAUCUAUAAGAAAAUAGUUUUGUUAAGUUGUUAACGAUACUAUUUACGUUUGUAAUAUAAUUUGUGUUUAAAAGUUUAAACCAUACUAGAUUGGGAAACAAAUUUGUGUUUUUUUCAGUAGUAUUUAAUAAUUUAAUAACAUAGUAAUGUGAAAAUAAUGUGAUAAAUAAAAUCAGUAGGAUACACAUAUUUUUCUUAAUUAAAUAAUAUAAAAUUGUAUUGACAAUUUGUAUAACAUAAAGGUCUCUUUCAAGAAGGCUAUUUUCAUCAUAUUUGUAGCAAAAAUUAGAAACAUAAUUUCACCAUCUCAUGGCUAUAUUAUUAAGCGGUUUUGUGAUUUUGGUUAUUAACUUAAUUGACUUUAUGAAGAAAUUCGGAAAGGAAGAUAAAAACAGAAGGCAACACAGAAGUAGGAAAAAGAAAGACAAAAUGAAAGAAUAUUAAAGAAAAAACAAAAUAAAAAAGAAGGGCAAUGUUAUCAGAAGUAUUUGAACCACAAAGUUAAUAUUGAGUUUUUGAGCCAAAUAAGGUGGAAAAUCUUUAAUGAAUCAUAUGUAAAUAAAUUUAUUUGUAUAUAUAUAUAUAUAUAUAUUUUGAACAUUAGAUUAUGAAAAAUAAAAAGAAAUUUACAUAGCAAUACUUUAGUAAGCUAAUCCAUAAUCUAUAAACUUUUUAGAUUACGGAAAAAAUAAUAAUUAACAUAAAAAUAUUAGAUUUUGUGGUUAGAAAUAGUCAUUAAAGAGAAUAAAAUGAUCAAAAUUCCUCUAUGGUUUUCAAAAAUAUUUUUGUGUAAAAUAUUGUAAGAUUACUCUAAAUUUUUCAUCCAAAAGAUAAGAAAAAAAACCUGUAUAUACAAAGUAAAAUUAGAAAAACACCACCCUAGAUCUGGAGCUAAACAUUCGGAAAAAUUAAAAAUUGUAUAUAUUACCUGCUGCUCUUUAAAUUAUAAUAUUAGGGAUUAACCCGUGCUAUAACGCGGGGAAUAUUGUUUUGACUUUUAAUUAUAUUAAAUAAUUUUGCAAAAAUAAUUAUUUUGUAAAAAAAAUAUUUUUUAACAAUUAUUUUUCAAAAAUAGUUAUUUUGUGAAUUUUAUAAAAUAAGUUGAUCUGUAUAUAGAGUCUUUUUUUUUUGUUGGUUUGAAUUGUAAAAAAUGAGUUUAUCCGUAUAUGAGGUUAUUUUAUAAGCGGGUAAAACAAAAUAAGUUGUUUAUUUAACUCGUUGGCAUUAGACUAAUAUAUUAUUGAGGCUAAUAUAAAAAAUAUUAUAAUAUUAUAAUCAUUAAAUAUAAUUUGCAUUGCUUGAUAAUUGAGUUUUAUAAUUUGUCCACGAACUAUAAAAAAUCAGUUUUAUUUUCUUUAACUAUAUAUGUAAAUAAUUAUAAUAUCCUUUAAACUCAUGUUUGAUAUUAAAUUAAUUAUAAUAUAAAACUAAUUAUAAUAUAUUUAGUAGAUUAAAUAUACCAUCUUUUUAAAACUAAUAUUUUGAAUUGCGACAUUUUUUUGUGAAUAUUAAAAAAUUAGAUUCAUAAUUCGUUCAUAUCAAACUAACUCGUUUACUUAACAUACUUGUACUAGAUUAAAAUAUAAAACUAAUUAUAAUAUACACCGUUUAAUAACUUUCAUUUCACCACAAAAUUUUUUAAUUAAAAAUUAAUUUAUUCAUGCCAAAUUUUUGGUAAAAAUAACUAAAAAUUUUUUUUGUAUAUAAUCAAAUAAAUAGUAAUAAAAAUAUUUCACUAUUUUUAUAUCAUAAUUUUUAGUCUUGAUUUUUAUAUUAUUUAAUUGUGAAUUUUUUUAUUUUCACGCUUUUUUAAUUAAAUAUACUUUAUGAUAUCAUUUGAAACAAAAAUAUAAAAAAUUAUCAUAUUUUAGAAUACAGAAAUUAAAAAAUAAAUAUAUUUUAUUAUAUAAGAAACAAAGACUUUCCAUAUUUUUUAAUAGAUUUAAAAGACAAUUAUAUUUUUUCUAUUUUAAUUCAUCUUUAUUAUUUGUAAUGAUAUAUUAUAUUAUUUUCAAAAAUAUCUACUUAAAUAAUAAUAUGAAGAUGUUCUCUCUAGUUGCCAAAAGUCAAGCAGUCGUUAAUUAGAGAACGAAACAAAUCUAACAAACUGUUAAAAAAAGUUGGCCGUCGUCGGCACAUGUCAUAGCCGUGCUAAAUAGUCACGUGACCUAGAUGUUGGACCUGCCGCGUCACGUCUGGUGUUUGGCGUUUGGAAAGGUCGUGCGCCUCUUCCUUAUUUGGUUUUUUAUAUUUUUAAUUGAGACCCCAAAAUACAUUGGACGAACCUCUCACCACAUUUUUAUUUGGUACUCGUCCCAUGAUACAGAUCAAAACGUCAACCACUUGUUACGUAUUUAGUUAUGUUAUUAUUGCCUUAUCCCACAGUUUUAUAUAUUCCUCACAUUUUACUUAAGAUAAUCCCCCAAUUUGAUUUUUUUUUUUCUUUUCUCGAUAGGUAAGUAUUGUACGUGAAAUAUCUUUUCUUUCCAGCUAAAAAAUUAUGAUUGACCUUAGACUUAAAAAUAUAGUUUAUACAAAAACGAUAAUACUGUUCAACGAUAACAAAUUUCUAUAUAUUAUUAUGUAGAGCCAAUCAAAGGAAGAAAAAAAAAUCAUUAAAGUUGCAUUUUGACUUGAACAAAUUCACAUUUCUCUAUUUUGAAGUAUAACCAUCAAAAACAAAAAUUUAUAAAAAGUAUAAUCGUAGACUUAUAGAUUUGUAGCAUUGAACGAGUACCAUACCUAAAUAACUAAUUAACUGUAAUAUUCCUAUUUUGGAUCUUUUGAGAUAACCAAGAACCGGAUCUGUUAAAUUGACGGUCUAAUCUCAUUUGGUUAACCACUUGGUUUUGUCCAGUGAUAAGCAACAGGACUGUCAGGACAAAAAACACAUGUAUAGUGAUGUGGUCAUGUGUGAGGGUUAUCAAGUUUUAUCCUAAAUGAAAUCAAUAGCCGCAAGUGCACAACUGAUCGAUUGUAGUACUUAGGGAUCGAAUCCACAGGGAAUGAGGAUAUUUUUUGAAAAAGUUUUCGAAAGAAAUAUGAAGUAAGGAAGUCUAGAACCAUGCAAUUUUUGUAAGGGUUUUGGUGGUGUCUUUAAAACGUAAAAACUAAUCUUAACGAGAAAAUACGAGAAUUAAAAUGAUCUAAUAACUAAUCUUAAAGAAAUCGACUAAAAACAAGAAACGACUAGGCCUAAUUGCUUGUAUGAAAAUCGGCUGAAAGAGUAAAAAUACUAGACUAAAACUUGAAUGAAAAUCAAUGUAAAUCUACCAGAAAAGAGGCGCUGGGUUUUUAGGGAAAUUCUCUCCAGGGGAUGAACGAUUCAAAACAUUGGUAAAGAGUAAUUCUAAUAAGAUCCUAGAUUUGAAUUACGAACGUAUGAAUACGCCACUGUCGUGAUCAUAACCAACUAUCUCCCUCAACCUGACCAGUAGGUUUCCACUCUGGCCCUAGAAAAGAAAAGAUGCAGUAAGCUUAAGACUCAUCAAUAUUCACAGCUCUUCCAUAGGUAGGUUUCCACUUCUAUGGUCAAUCUGCUCUUCUCGAACUAGAUCUGGCCUCGAAUGAAAACUUUCGCAACAUCCAAAACCGGGAUCAGAUUGUAGUUCAUGAGGCUACUCCCAUGCAUAAAUAAGUUUAGAAGAGAAAGUUCUAGGAUUGGGCUUCAAUAGCUAAUGUAAUCCUCAUCGAACAUAUAUAACCCCCAUCGAAAAUCCCUUAAACCCAACAAGAAAACUACUCAGACAUGAUGAACGAAAGCAAAAUCAUAGUAUUAAAAAGUAGAGCAGAAAUCGAAAUCAACAGAGAAACAAAAAGGGUUCAAGAGAUAGAUCUCUCUCCCUAAACCUAAAACAAAAUCUUAAAUUUGUAUCUUUUCUAAAGUGUCUCUCUCUAAAAACGACCUAAAUGAUAAGUAUUUAUAGUUUCCAAUGCUUCAUGGUCUCUAGGGUUUCCAGAAUUGAGGCUGAGAAAAUGACUUGGGCUUCAGAAAUGGGCCUUCUAAAUCGGAGAUGGCUGGCCGCGGUCAGAAAUGACGUGGUCGCAAUGAAUGGAUGUUUGGCUGCGGUCGUAUAGCCUAUGACCGUGGUAAAAAAGCUGUUGGCCGCGGGUGGAAAUGCUUGCCGGCUGGUUUACUGGACAUCUUGCUCUUUGCAUAACAUUUGAUUGAACUGUUAGAUUGCCAAGCUGUAAAGUGUUCUGGAAAGCUGAUUGUUCCAUCUUUUAGGACUCCAAAUUUGAGCUGGAUCAGAUGGUGAGAAGGUCUUCAUUUGAGGGUAAACUUCUGACGAAUUGACUCUGAGCUGAAAAUCUGGUCUUCUAUUCAUUUUGUUAAGCUUUUCCCUAGGUUUCCUAAAACUACAAAUACUAGAAAAAAUAAUAAAAACACUUGAAAGCAAUAAAAAACAUAGAAAAAUUAUUGCAAAACUAUCCAUAAAAGUGGUCAAAAUACGGUGUUAUCAACUCCCCCAAACUUAAACCUUUGUUUGCCCUCAAACAAAGCAAAAGUCUAAACUGGUUAAGUAAAACAAAAAUAGGAAAUGCACAAAUCUCAGAGACAUGAACUCUUAAACUAGGACCCUAGAUAGUGCAUUAGUCCACAACUUAGUCUAGAAAGUUCUCACCAAGAUACAAAAGAUACUAGUCCACUUUUUCCGUCAUGCAAAACUUAACAAUCUAAAUCUCGAUUUCAGUCAACUAGAUCUCUACAUUCAUUAAGUGCAAUAGUGAAUUCUCAUCAAAGACAUCAUCCAGGGUAGACGGCGUUUGGCAUUUAAAGGUUGUUUAAGUGGUGGAGUUAAAGUGUUUCGAGUUACCUGAUGAAUAUGGAGGAUGCAAGGUAUUAUGCAAAACGGCAAGAGAGAUAAGGACCAGUUGAUGACCGCAAUUUUCAGUCACUUCUUCUUUCCCAGUGUUGUUGCAUACUCCUUCCUCCUGUGUUGUGAACAGUUGUUCCCCCAGACUAAAAUUUUUUCUGGGAAUCAGAAAAAUGAUCGAACUCUAGCUUGCCUAAAAAAAAAAUCAAUCCUCUUAGACUCUCUCAAGGUUUUUUUUCCUUACCUUUCAUUUUAUUUUCUUUUUUGGAUUUUUUUUUGUGAAAGGGGAAAUAACCUUUUAGAGAGAGAGAGAGAAAGUCUAAGGGACAAAAAUGUACCAAUGUUAGGCGAUUUUUCUAAGGACAAGCAGAGUUUUCUCCUUUGUUGAAUCAUUCCGGUAAAGUUUCCGGCAAAAUCGCAGUUCUUCGUCUUAGUGACUGAAAACUACGUUGUACCUCUUUCUCUCCGACGUUUUUGCAUAUAUCUGCAUAUAAGCCAAUGAAAAACAAGAGUGCAUGUGGUUCAAAAGAGGUUUGGUUAAGGUGGGGAACUAGCUAAAGAUGAACUAGCCAUUCAGGAUCAAUAGAGAGUAGUAAAAGGGUAAAGGAGUCUUGAAUGUAUGAUUCGUUUCCCUGGUCUAAAUGCAUUAAUGAGAGAAUUAAGUCCAUGUUGAGUCCAAAUAAAACAGAGCUAGUGUAUUCCUUCAUCUAAAUCGAAAUCAUUCAAAUUCUUCUAGGGUACUUCGUUUCAAAUGUGCUUAGCUACCGCCUAGUCUAGUCUUAAAUCAUGAAUGAGCAUGUCACUAGGAACAGACUAAAAGCACACAGUCAACUAUCAUUGAUUCAUGUUCACCAUUCCCUUUAAAAUGUAUUUUGUUUUGAAAACCGUUUUUGAAAAACGUUAAGAAAAAUAUAAAAAGUGUAGAUAAUGCAAGACUCAUGAAAGAAAAGUGGUUAGAAAGGGAUGAAAUCCUCCCCCAGACUUAAAUCAUAUUGUCUUCAGUGUGAAACAAGUCGAGAUUGGAUGAGAAAAAUGCAUAGAUAAUCGAACUUAGUAAGCCAAAGAGAACUUACUUGGAUCCAUCAUGCUGGUGGAGAUGGACCGGAUCUAUUCGAAAAGGUUUGGGAAGGUGAUAAGUGGUGAUGGAAGGUGGUAGGAAGUGAUGAAUGAGGUGGAAUGGGGCUUGGUGAGGUGGAAUGAGGUGAAGUGGGUGGUUUGGGGUCGUGUGUCGUGUGAACGGCUAUUGGCCGCGGUCAGGGCUCAUGCGACCGCAGUGAACUUGUGCCUGGCCGCAAUCAGAAAGACGCGGCCAUGGUCAAAGUGGGGUUUGCCGCGGUCCGAAAGCCUCCGACCGCAGGGGCUUAAAUGCGGCCUGUUCCUGCUUCUCUUUGGUUCCUGCUGGGCCGAGCAGUCAGGGACCAUCUUUCUUUUUGGUUAUUUUGGUUUUUUGAUUUUUUUGCUUUUUUAAUUUAUAAGAAACACCUGAAAGUAAGAAAAACAAAAAUAUCAAUAGAAAAAUAAAGAAAAAUCUUAAAGAAAACAAUAUACUUAAAUGGGUUGCUGAUGUUGUCUGCUGUGAGGGUGUCAAGUUUUACCCUAAAUGAAAUCAAUAGCCGUAAGUCCACAGCUGAUCGAUUGUAGUACUUAGGGAUCGAAUCCACAGGGAAGGAGGAUCUUUCCUGCAAAAGCCUUCGAAAGAAAUUUAAAGUAAAGAAGUCUAGAACCAGACGAUUUUUGUGAGGGUUUUGGUGGUGUCUUUAAAACGUAAAACAAAUCUUAACGAGAAAAUACGGGAAUUAAAAUGACCUAAUAACUAAACUUAAUGAAAACGACUAAAAACGAGAAAAACGGCUAAACCUAAUUGCUUAAGUGAAAAUCGAUUACGAAAAUAAAAAUACUAGACUAAAACUUGAAUAAAAAUUGGUGUAAAUCUAUAGAAAAGAGGCGCUGGGUUUCAGGUAAUUUUUCUCAGGGGUAUGAACGAUUCAAAACAUUGCUAGAGAGUAAAUUUGAUAAGAUAUUAGCUUAAACUUUUUGAACUAGAGUCACGGACGUAUGAAUACGCCACUGUCGUGAUCAUAGACAACUAUCUCUCUCAACAUUGACCAGUAAGUUUCCACUCUGGCCCUGGAAGAGAAGAGAUGCAUUAUGUUCAAGACUAGUCAACAUUCACCAAUCGCCCAUAGGUAGGUUUCCACUCCUAUGUUUGUUUCCCAAACUAGAUCUGACACCGGAUGAACACUUUCGUGUCACCAAGCAUCUGGAUCAGAUUGUAGUUCAUGACGCUACUCUCAUGCAGUAAAAAUAAAUUCAGAAGAAAAAGUUCUAAGAUUCGGCUUCAAUAGCUCAUGGAAUCUUCAUCGAACAUAUGAAUCUCCAUCGAAAAUCCCUUAGACCCAACAAUAAAACUACUCAGACAUGAUGAACGAAAUCAAAAACAUAGUAUUAAAAAAGUAGAACAGAAAUCGAAAUUGAAAAAAAGCAAUAAGAAAAAAAGAUGGUGUAAAAGGUAAUGAUCCGAAUUAGGGUUCCUAAAACAUGUAUUUAUAGUGCUCAAGACAUCUCUGGGCGUCAAUUAGGGUUUCUCCAACUGAGGGAAUCAUUUUGGGCUUCAGAAAUGGGUCUUCGGGUUCAGAGUUGGCUGGCCACGGUCGAGAUGUGCGUGACCGCGGGGAAUGGGUGGUUGGCCGCAGUCGGGAAGCCUCUGACCGUGGUGAAAUGGCUGCUGGCCGCGGGUGGAAGUACUUGCCGGCUGGUUUACGGGACAUCUUGCUCUUCGCGUAUCUUUUGAUUGAACCGUUGGAUUGCCAAGCUGUAAAGUGUGCUGGAAAGCUGAUACUUCCAUCUUUGAGAUCUCCAAAUUUGAGCUGGAUCAGACAGUGAGAAGGCCUUCAAUUGGGGGUGAACUUCUGACGGAUUGACUCUGAGCUAAAUAUUUGGUCUUCUAUCAAUUUUGUUAAGCUUUUCCCAAAGUUUCCUGAAAAGAGUCUUGGAACUAUAAAUACUAGAAAAACGUAUUAAAAUUAAUUGAAAUCAAUAAAAAAACAUAGAAAAAGUAUUUCAAAACGAUCCAUAAAAGUGGUCAAAAUACGGUGUUAUCAGUUGCCUCUCAUUAAGCGCUUCUGUUUCAAGUCGUUUAACUCGACUUUGGUGUAGGACGUGUCUUAGUCCUUAAAAGGCAAUGUCUUUGGACAAGUCCUCUUUCCUUCUCCUUGUCUUUUCUUUGUAUAUCCCUUAUAAAGCCAUUCCCAAUUGGAAAUUUUGUCCUUAGGUUCGAGAUGGUAGCCACCUCCAGGAUCAAAAAUCAGUCUUGGAACUUCUUUGAGGUAUGAGUCUUCAGCACCACUUGUGAUAGGAGAACGUCUUGGAAGCUCGUAUGAUGAGGUGGAUAAGGUCUCUCUCACAUCAUAGCAUUGAACCAUGUUGAAAGAUACAAGGACAGAUGAUUCUUUAUGAUCUGAAGUGGUGGAGAUGGUUAAGCAUCCAAGGUUAGGACAGUUUGCUUGGAGAGGUGUCGCCAUGGCGUGAAUAGUCGGAGGGCUAGUACAAAGAGCAUUGGCCACAGUUGGAAGUGUCGUGACCACGGUGAAAGGUGGUUUGGUCGUGGGUGCAAUUGUCGCGACCGCAGAGAAACAUAGGUUGGCCGCGGAUAGCGCACUCGCGACCAUGGUGUCGGCUGUCUGAGAAUAGAUGUUCGGGUCGUCUUGCUUCUUGUCUCCAAUUAUCUUUCCUUGUGGAGAUUCUUGAGAAAAGAUUCUUGGUGGCCAUUUAAGCUUUACUCUUGCUUCAAUCAAGUCUCCAUCACUUCUCAUAUGAGCUUUGGUUAAAGGUGUACAUAAGGAAAUACCUUUGUUCGUCAAACUUGUAAAUCCAGUGUUUUCUUUGUGUGCUCUUCUCUCUAGAACGUAUCCAACAUCCUUUGUAGCUCUUCCAGGGUCAAAUAUUGGAUCAUCUACGCUGCCGAUGAUCAUACAAUGAGAUUUCUUUGUAGGAAUUCCCAGAUGUGAGGUUUUCUUGUCGAUCUUUGAGAAACUCAUAUGUUGAUUCGGGUAGUCAAUGAGUGUUUCAACAGAUGCCAGGAACAGAGUACCAAACAUCAAGGGUUUUGUUCCAUCCUUUCUCAUCUCCAUAACAUGGAAAUCAGUAGAAACAAGAAAAACUUUCCCUCGAAAAGGCAAUUCGGGUUUGAAACCGAGUGGAGCUGCACCAGAAAAAUUUCCAUAGUGAAUGUAAAUCUUAAUAGGACGAAAAAUUGAGAUACGUAUAUUCUAUGCAAUGGUCUUUGGUAUGAGAUUCACAUCAGGUCUAGUAUCACGAAGAGAAUCAGGAAAUUUCACUCCCUUGAUUGAGAAUGGGGCAUCAAACUUCUCGGAAUGGUGGUUUUGAUGUCACCAUUAGUGUCUCAUCUUUCACGUGGUCUGUCUUACAGUCAACAUGGUGAGGAGCUGAAGGAUAAAAAGGCUUUGGUUCAUCAAGAGGAAGUGACUUAUGAUCUUGUUUGUCAUGUCCAAAACACUUGACCGAAUCGGUAGAGACGAAAUCAUCACUAGAAAUAGAAAUAAGUUCUCUUUUUUCUUGAUGACUGGCUUCCAUGACGUGAUGAUCCAAAGGCCUUUCAUUUGAUGGCCUCUUUCUAACAAACUUGAUGGAGGGUUCUCCAUCUACUUCACAAGUUACCCAAUACCCGUUAUCAAUAGAUUCAUUGAGCUCUUGAAGUAUAUCAUCCAUCUCGGUUUGGGAGACAGUUCAUCAAAGAGAGGAUCAUGGAUAUCUCUGUGGGCAUUGUCAGUUGAAUAAGGGUCAUGGUCCUUUUAGAAUCCUUCUUCUUCUGAAACUUCGGCAAUUGAUUUGUUGUGGCUGUGAAGUCCUCUUGUGUGAUGGUUCGGAAUUGAAUUAUGAUCCAUUGAGGAGAGAUAACGAAUGUAUUGUGCUUCUCGGUGUCGAGUGGCUUGAGGAGUGUUGUAGAAACCUUUCUCAUAGUAGUAAUUUCGAUCCAUAGGGUUCAUUGCUUCAUAACCUGAAACAAGAAGAGCCCAAAAACGAAAAUAAGUAGAAAAAGGGUUCUAGAGUCAAUUUACCAACCUUUCAUAGGGUUUUGCGGAAAAUAAAAUGUGUGCCUUCCCCGGCAACGGCGCCAAAAACUUGAUGUGGUCGUGUGUGAGGGUUGUCAAGUUUUACCCUAAAUGAAAUCAAUAACUACAAGUGCAUAGCUGAUCGAUUGUAGUACUUAGGGAUCAAAUCCACAGGUAAGAAAGAUCUUUCCUGCAAAAGUCUUCGAAAGAAAUAUGAAAUAAGGAAGUCUAGAACCAGACGAUUUUUGUAAGAGUUUUGGUAGUGUCUUUAAAACGUUAAAAACUAAUCUUAACAAGAAAAUAUGAGAAUUAAAAUGACCUAAUAACUAAACUUAAAGAAAUCGACUAAAAACGAGAAAACGGCUAGACCUAAUUGCUUGUAUGAAAAUCGGCUGAAAGAGUAAAAAUAAUAUACUAAAACUUGAAUGAAAAUCGAUGUAAAUCUAUAGAAAAGAGGCGCUGGGUUUUCCAUGGAAAUUCUCUCCAGGAGAUGAAUGAUAACACCGUAUUUUGACCACUUUUAUGGAUCGUUUUGAAAUAUUUUUUCUAUGUUUAUUAUUGCUUUCAAGUACUUUUGUUAUGUUUUUCUAGUAUUUGUAGUCCCAAGGCUCUUUUCAGGAAAUUUAGGGAAAAACUUAACAAAAAUGGAUAGAAGACCAGAGUUUCAGCUUAUAGUCAAACCGUCAGAAGUUCACCCCCGAUUGAAGGCCUUCUCACCGUCUGAUCCUGCUCAAAUUUGGAGAUCUCAAACAUGGAGCUAUCAGUUUUCCAGCAUACUUUACAGCUUGGCUAUCCAACGGUUCAAUUAAAAGUUACACAAAGAGCAAGAUGUCCCGUAAAGCAGCCGGCAAGCAUUUCCACCUGCGGCCAACAGCCACUUCACCACUGUCAAAGGCCACCCGACCGCGGCCACGCAAUUCCCGACUGCGGCCAGCCAACUCUAAGUUAGAAGGCCCAUUUCUGAAGCCCAAAUCAUUUUCUCAGCCUCAAUUACGGAUCCCUAGACACCAUGGAGCAUUGGAGACUAUAAAUACUUAUCAUUUAGGGCGUUUUUAAGAGAGACGAAAUACUUUAGAAGAAAUUUUACUUUAAGCUUUUGUUUUUAGGUUUAGGGAGAGAGAGAUCUAUCUCUUGAACCCUUGUUCUUUCUUUUUCAAUUUUGAUUAUUGCUUUACUUUUUAAUACUAUGUUUUUAUUUCGUUCAUCAUGUCUGAGUAGUUUUAUUGUUGGGUCAAAGGGAUUUUUGAUGGGGAUAUAUAUGUUCGAUGAGGAUUCCAUGAGCUAUUGAAGCCGAAUCUUAGAACUUUUUCUUCUGAAUAUACUUUUAUACUUCUGAGUAGUUUUAAUGUUGUAUAUUUUCUAAAGUAUUUCGUUUCUCUCUAAAAACGACUUAAAUGAUAAGUAUUUAUAGUUUUCAAUGCUCCAUGGUCUCUAGGGUUCUGGAAUUGAGGCUGAGAAAAUGAUUUGGGCUUCAGAAAUAGGCCUUCUAAAUUAUAGAUGGCUGGCUGCGGUCGGAAAUGACGUGGUUGCGGUGAAUGGAUGCUUGGCCGCGGUCGUAUAGCCUCUGACUGUGGUAAAAAGGCUGUUGGCCGCGGGUGGAAAUGCUUGCCGGCUGGUUUACGAGACAUCUUGCUCUUUCUGUAACUUAUGAUUGAAUUGUUGGAUUGCCAAGCUGUAAAGUGUUCUGGAAAGCUGAUAGUUCCAUAUUUGAGGAUUCCAAAUUUGAGCUGGAUCAGACGGUGAGAAGGUCUUCAUUUGAGGGUGAAUUUCUGAUGAAUUGACUCUUAGCUGAAAAUCGGGUCUUCUGUUCAUUUUGUUAAGUUUUUUCCUAAGUUUCCUGAAAAGAGUAUUGGAACUACAAUACUAGAAAAACAUAAUAAAAACACUUGAAAGUAGCCCCAACAAGUAAUCUCGCACCACAGGGGUUGCCUGAGAAGAGCACCUAACUCGAUCUAAUUCAAUCCUCACCACUGGACGAAAGGGACUGAAAAAUCCAUUCAGAGAAAAACCUCAGAUCCGAGAAUAGAAGUUAAUCUUUUCUUUCUAUACGAAAUUCAAUGCCGUUUAUUAAUUCCUACCAAACAGAACCUCUAAGUUCAGGAUCGUCAGACAACACCAAGCAUCCUAUAACUAGCAUCAAGCAAUGACUCUUUUUCUUUUAUCACAUUUAAACAAGUCUAUCAACAUAACUCAUCACACAAUAUAAUCCCUAAAUCAUCAACAAACCACAAUAACACAUCCACAUCAUAUUCAGACAAUUCUAUAGACACAAUAACAGCCAUGGUUUAAGAGAAGACUAAUCUACACCCUAUAUCACAUAAUCCAGGAGUUGGAUAAGUAUCAAACCCUCACCUUGGCUUUAGUGGUGGUGGUGGCGAUUGAAGACAACGUGGAGGUGCAUACAGCUCCUCAUCGGACGAGCUCGAAGAUAGAGGACGCGGAAGUGAGCUCAUCUUUGGCGGUGAAGGCUUCACGGUAAGGCUGAGCCGUCGCGGAAAUGGUGGAGACUUGCGGCAAGCUUCGCGGUCUCAAUGGUGGCUGCUGAAGGUUCCGCCAGAGCUUCUAGAGGCUUCGCAGAGGAAGCAGGAGCAGUGACGUGGAGCGAUGGAGUAGAGGAGGCUUCUCGAUAGAGGAGGACAGGAAGCAGCAUCGCGAGAAGGAAAGGAAACUAGGCACGCCAAGGAGAAGAAGAGGAGAGCAGCGGUGCGGCAAGGGAAGAGGAGUAGUGGCGAGGUGAGAAGAAGAAGAGGAAGAAGCAGCGCGGAAAAGAGAGAAGAAGAGAAGUCACAGGGAGAGAGAUAGAGAGAGAGAGGAGAGGAGGAGGAGGAGCUUGGUUUCGCUAGAAGGAGAGAAAAAAAAAAGAAGAAAUAGGAUUUUUUAGGAAAUGAGAGAUUAUAUAAAGUGAAAAUUACUUGAACUAACCUUUAAGGUUACAUUAUUGAUUAGAUUAACCCGUCGUAUUUUGGGUCUUCCUCGAUUAACCUUACAAUGUUAGUAUCAUACGAUUUUAUCACAUCUGGAAUAUUAUUACAAGGAAUGCCAUCUGGUUAAUGAAAAUUAAAAAAAUGAAUUUUGGAAUAUUUAAUAAAAUCAAACAAAUAUAAAUAUAAUUUUACAGAAAAAUAUAUAAAAUUCGGGUUAGUAAAAAAAACUCUAACUUUUGCGAGAGAGGCAAAUCGACGACUGUUUGUGCGACCAUCAUUUCUGAGGCGAUUUCGGCGACGGCAAAGGACCUCCGGCAAUAAUUUGGUAAGAAUACUCCGCUUAAUUGCUCGGAGAAUUUCGAUCUUCUAAUCCAUUUCGUAUAUUAUCGCUUUCGUGCUUUCUGUUUCGUUGUGUUUGGAUUUUUUUCUUUUUUCUUUUUUUGUUUGGUAUUAGUGGUUGCUGGUAUGUACGACAUCCUCCCCCAAUUGAAAAGGAUUUAUCCUAAAAUCAGGACCAUCUGCCAAGAACAAAACUAAGUUAGAACCAUUAGAACUUGAAUUUGGAUUAUGCUUACCUUGCAAGUAUGGUUCGGCAGUAAUCUGUGUUGGAGUUUGAGGUGGUCCAUGCUUCCUUGCAUCCUUUAAGUCAGAGUAUUCGAGUGCCACACGUCCUCCAGCACUCAUCCCUUUUCCCUGUCUGUUAUGAGCUCCUUUUUCAGUGGCAGUUGAUUGUUUAGAGACUUAUUUAGCUUAAGGCUCUUUUUGGUGAAGAUGAAGCCCUCGGAUGGAUUUUUCAAAGGAAAGAUGCAAUCUAUUUAUUCAAAUUGAAUUCUGUUCCAUGUAUUAUCUUCUUAUGGUUCAGUUGGCCUAAGAAUUUCAUCUUUAUAGUCCUGCAAAACAAAAGAUCUUCCACUCGGCAGCUCUGGUGCAACAUUAGAUAAACUCAAAAGAGUUUCUUUAUAAGCAGACUUAUGACUAGAUGAUUGAGAGAGAAGAGUUCUUUGGAUAUUACCAGAAUUGGCGAGGAAGUUUGAUUGCUUGUAGGUAUUGUUCUUAGCUCGUUUCCCUUUUUUCGCUUGAUCUUGAUAAAUCUCUAAUGUUGUCAUCGGAACAAGAAUGUGUUUCCUGCCUUUGAACUCAAAAGAAUACUUGUUGGUGGAGCCAUCAUGAGUCACUUGUCUAUCAUACUGCCAUGGUCUUCCCAACAAAAUGUGACUUGCCUCCAUAGGUAGAACAUCACACAUAAUUUUAUCCUCAUAUCAAGGGUCAGAAAAACCGUUACUUGGCUGUUCACUCGCAUUUCACCUUUAUCAUUGAGCCAAUGCAGAUUGUAUGGCUUGAGAUGCUUCUUCACGGUCAAGCCAAGCUUAUUAACCAUGUAUUCACUUCCUACAUUGGUGCAGCUUCCUCCAUCAAGGAUGAGAUUGUACACCUUGCCUUGCACAUGACAUUUUGUGUGAAAUAGGUUCUGUCUUUGUGCUUCCUUCUCUGCUUUAGCUUGCAUGUUUAGUAUCUUUUUCAUCAUCAAAAGAUCUCCCGUAGCAGCAUACUCCUCUUGCUCUUCUACUGAAUCUUAGAUCUCUUUUUCAUAUGCCGAUUCGUACUCACCAUUGUCUAAGAGAAUCAGAACUUUCUUGUUAGGACAUUCACUAGCAAUGUGUCCUCUUCCUUGACACUUGAAGCACACUAUCUCACGAGCUUUAGUAGUGAAUGCUUUGGUUUUGACCUUGGAGUCUGGUUUAGCAGGGAAUUAUUUAGAAGACACUACAGGCUCGACACUUGGUUUUCUUCUUUGGCAAAGCUUGGUCUAGCAGUAGAUGAACCAGUUCCAUAAGUUGAUCGAGACCCACUCCUCUUGAGCUGUUGUUCGACCAGAAUGGCCUUGUGAUAUAUCUCCUCUAGAUCAGCAUAACUUUGCAUCUCCACUCGGUCUUGAACUUCUCGGUUUAACCCACUCAAAAACCUAGCAAUUGUUGCUUCUUCAUCUUCUUCAAUACCAGCCUUGAUCAUCACAGAUUCCAUUUCUUGAAAAUAAUCUCUACACUGAUGUUUCCUUGACUCAAACGCCUAAGUCUCUGGUAUAGCUCCCGGUGAUAGUGACUAGGAACAAAACGUUUCCUCAUGAGUGCUUUCAACUCAUUCCAAGUAUCAACAGGCAGAUCUCUAUUGCGUUUGCGGCUUGUGGUGAUGUGAUCCCAGCAGUUUAUAGCAUAAACAUAAAACUUUGUAGCAGCUAGCUUCACCAUCUUGAGGUCUGAAUACUCUUGACAAUCAUAGAUCAUCUCGAUCUUCUUCUCCAAUUCCAGGUAAGCGUCUGGAUCAUUCUUGCCAUAAAAAAGAGGAACUUUCAGCUUCAUGCCUCAUCAUCAACACGUUCCCUUGCUCCUCUUCCACGUCUUGGACUGCCCUGUGAAGAAGUAUCAUCACCAACAUCAUUUCUAGGCUGUCUAUGCUGAACACGAACUCCAUUGGCAUUUCUUUCUUGAACUCCCCUCGAAUUAGGCUCUCCUUGUAGUUGAUCAAUUCGCUGAUGUAGUUCUUUUGCUUGUGUUUUCAUCAGUUGCUCCAACCGAGCCAUCAUGGCUUCCAUAAAGAGUUUGUUGCUAUUUUUGCUGUUGUCUCCUUGCUCUUCAUUCAUUGAGACCAGAAAAACAAAACAGAAAACAAAACCAAUAACUAGUUCUCAGAAUAGAUAAAAAAUGCAAAAGUGACUGUUUGUGUGCCACAAGAAAUCAAAAGCCCUAGAAUAUGAUCGGUCUAUUUUUAAACAAACACAGAUAUGUAGAAUGAUGAGAUCUGAUGAUAGAAGUUAAAGAGACAAAACGAGAACAGAUGAUUUUUGACACACAACAGGUGAUGAACAACUAACAGAUCUAAAGCAAAAAAAUUUUAGGGGUUUUUCUUUUUCUGUAGAGAACAAAAACGAAAAUAGAAGAUGAACAGAUGCAGACACAUAAUUAAGAAGAUGAAUAGAUUAGAAAGGAUACAGACUACCAAAGAAGCUUCUAAGUGUGCUCUGAUACCACUUGAUGUGAUCCUCCCAAGGAUCGACACUCAUAAGCUUUUAAGAUAUUGAGAAGAGACAUAAGUUUGCAGAAUAGACUUCUGUUUGAAGAGAUGAAUAGAUCAGGUUGUUGUUCAGAGUAUAAUUGAUCACAAGAGAAAGAAAAGAAAUGAAAAUGUGCUGCAGAAGCAAUGAUUCACUCUGAAGAGAAAACAAAGAGAAGAGGGAUGAUAAAAAUGUUGUACAAGCAGCGAAUAAAUCUCAAGAGACAAGAGAAUUUUGUCCAGAUUUGAUAAGAGAAAGAGAGAGGUUUAUUUAAUAAAAUUUGAUGAUCUAAUCCAGGAUGAGUUACAAAGAAGAACACAAAGAGUUUAAAUAGAACAAACACAACACAUGCAUGAAGAGCAUUAAACUCUUCUUGGAAAUAAGCAAAAUAAAUAACUAGAGUUUGAAUUUGAAACUAAGAACCCUUGAUCUUCUUUGACUCCAUGAAAUGGGCUUGCUGGGCUUGAGUAAGAUCCCAAAAAUGGGUCAAUGAUAUUGUGAAUCACUUGGCCUCAUUAAAAACCUUAGUUUGGAAAACCCAUUUGGACAAAACCAAACCAAGGGAAAAAGAGUACACAAAUGAUUCACAAACCCAUCUAGUGAUUUCUUUGGGCCUGAUCAUAACCAGUAUGGUUAGAUGUGUCUUUGAAUGGUGUUACUUUUGCCUUUGUUUGAGUUUCACGCCAAUGCCUUCUUUGAGUUUAGUAGCCUUAACUUCUCUUCUUACAAACAUGUCUUCCUCGGCUUUGAGCUGAUCCUUGAUUUCAUGCUCUGGUUCAAGCUCUCCUUUCUUGAUGAUGCUUAGUAUCACAUCAGUAUCAACUGGGCACCUGAUGGUCAUCAUGUUGCAAUUGGGCUCUUUCCAAGCGAAUUUUCUUGCAACCCGUGGGGGUGGAGGAGAUAUGGUGAUAAAGUUCUGGAACUCUCACAGAGGGGCUUGCUCGAAUUUAGUAGACACGGGCUCCCAAGUGUGUUCUCUGCUAUGGAGCAAAAAUGAAAGAGAGUUACUUAGCUCAAAUGGGUUUACACAGAAUCAGCUCACACUUUGGAAGUGCCCAUCCAUGGUGAAAAUGGCUGAGCUCACUGGUCAUACAUCAGCAGGAGAAAGGAAGAGGCAUAACAGAAAAGUAACGCCGAAAAGCCUGGUAAUGAAAGUGGAGCCGAAAAGGAAGAGCAACAUCAGAUGAGAAGGAAGCAGACUCUAUGCAGGUAAAUGAUAACACCGUAUUUUGACCACUUUUAUGGAUCGUUUUGAAUACUUUUUCUAUGUUUUUUAUUGCUUUCAAGUACUUUUAUUACGUUAUUCUAGUAUUUGUAGUUCCAAAACUCUUUUCAAGAAAUUUAGGGAAAAACUUAACAAAAUGGAUAGAAGACCAGAUUUUCAGCUCAGAGUCAAACCGUCAGAAGUUCACCUCCGAUUGAAGGUCUUCUCACCGUCCGAUCCAGCUCAAAUUUGGAGAUCUCAAAGAUGGAAGUAUCAGCUUUCCAACACACUUUACAGCUUGGCAAUCCAAAGGUUCAAUCAAAAGAUACGCGAAGAGCAAGAUGUCCCGUAAACCAGCCGACAAGCGUUUCCACCUGCGGCCAACAGCCAUUUCACCACGGUCAGAGGCUUCCCGACCGCGGCCAACCAUCCAUUCUCCGCGGCCAUGCACUUUCCAACCGCGGCCAGCCAACUCCGAGUUAGAAGGCCCAUUUCUGAAGCCCAAAUCAUUUUCUCAGCCUCAAUUCCGGAACCCUAGACACCAGAGAGCAUUGGAGACUAUAAAUACUUAUCAUUUAGGUCGUUUUAGAGAAGAGAAGAAGAGAGACGAAAUACUUUACAAGAAUUUUUACUUUAAGCUUUUGUUUUUAGGUUUUAGGGAGAGAGAGAUUUGUCUCUUGAGCCCUUGUUCUUUCUUUUCAAUUUUUAAUACUAUGUUUUUGAUUUCGUUCAUCAUGUCUGAGUAGUUUUAUUGUUAGGUCUAAUGGAUUUUCGAUGGGGAUACAUAUGUUCGAUGAGGAUUUCAUGAGCUAUUGAAGCCGAAUCUUAUAACUUUUUAUUCUGAAUUUACUUUUACUGCAUGAGAGUAGCGUCAUGAACUACAAUGUGAUCCAGAUGCUUGGUGACACGAAAGUGUUCAUCCGGUGUCAGAUCUAGUAUGGGAGAGCAAAAUAAACAUAGGAGUGAAAACCUACCUAUGGGUGAUUUGUGAAUGCUGACGAGUCUUAAACAUAAUGCAUCUUUUCUCUUCCAGGGCCAGAGUGGAAACCUACUGGCCAGGGUUGAGAGAGAUAGUUGUCUAUGAUCAUGACAGUGGCGUAUUCAUACGUCCGUGACACUAGUUCAAAAAGUUUAAGCUAAGAUCUUAUCAAAUUUACACUCUAGCAAUGUUUUGAAUCAUUCAUACCCUAGAGAAAAUUUCCCUGAAACCCAGCGCCUCUUUUUCUAUAAAUUUACAUCGAUUUUAUUUCAAGUUUUAGUCUAGUAUUUUUACUCUUUCAAUCGAUUUUCAUUUAACCAAUUAGAUUUAGCCGUUUUCUCGUUUUUAGUCGAUUUCAUUAAGUUUAGUUAUUAGGUCAUUUUAGUUCCCAUAUUUUCUCGUUAAGAUUAGUUUUUACAUUUUAAAGACACCACCAAAACCCUCACAAAAAUCGCCUGGUUCUAGACUUCCUUACUUUAUAUUUCUUUCGAAGGCUUUUGCAGGAAAGAUCCUCCUUCCCUGUGGAUUCGAUCCCUAAGUACUACAAUCGAUCAGCUGUGCACUUGCGGCUACUGAUUUCAUUUAGGGUAAAAAUUGACACCCUCACCACACGACCACAUCAGUAAAGUGCAAUCAUAUUCUUAACAUUCUCGUUUAAAAUGUCAAUUCAAUGAUUAUCAAAUCUCUGCUUUACCAUUUGUCAAUGCUGCUCUUUUGAACAUAGACAAUAUCAUGUUCAUGAUCUGUCUUGAUCAUAUGUUUGGAUCAUAAGUAAAGAUUCUCUGUGUUAUGUGGAUAUCACAGCAGCUACAACGGUGGAGAAGAAAGCGGAGGCAGAAGCAACAUUUGAGAAAUAUAUAAAAUUGAUGGAGGAAAGCAGAUAUGUACUGGUGAAGCUAGCUCCAUCAGGGUUCGUUCUUCUCAGAGACUUGCGUCCGCUUGUGCUUAAGGUUCCGUCACUGACUGAUGCACCAACUUCAAUAGCAUCUCCUGCUGGUGGUGCAGCAGCUACAGGCCAAAGCCAGCAAGCAACUACGCCCUCAGCUAUGGCCGUAGAUGAUGAUGAGCCACAACCUCCACAAGCCUUUGAAUACGCUUCUCCAUGAUUUAUUUUUUCUUUCUUGAAUUAGUGCAUAGUUUGUAUAUUUGUCGAGUAAACAAAGAUCAGUAUUUUUUUGGGACUUGGAAGGCUAGUAAUUCGUAUCUGUCUUGGAGUCCUACUUCUCUCUCUCUUGAGAUUGAUCUUUAUCAGAAAAUACAAAAUGGCUCAUGAUGAAAAUGGUUGUACCGUAGCUUCAGCAGCAGGAGACGAAACUGAGGUUCUGGAAUGUUUUUGAAGUACCGGAGACCACCAAAAAACCUGCUCCAAAAGCAGCCCAUGAGCUAUUUUCUCAUGUGAAUCUUAUUCGUUAAAACUGUGAAGAGUACAACAAGGAAAGCUAUUGAUUGUUGUUGAUUGUUACAGAAGAAAACUAUUUUCUAAUUUUUUCAGAUUCAUUCUUUAUGAACUGUAUUGACAAGUAAAGGAUUUAAGGAUUCAUUCUUUAUGUGGGAAAUGGAGCCAAGAAAAAGUAAGGAUUUAAGGUUUUCUUACGUUUUUCUAGAACAUACUUUUAUGUCUAUAAUUUUUUUGAUUUUUAGAUAACUUCUGAUGUGUUGACAUUACGCCAUAAGAUAGAGAAAUGAAACAGAGCUAGAGACAAUAUGCACACUAGGUUAAUAAUAGAAAAAACAAUGCGCAUACGCACUUGAAUCUCCAAAUAUAUAGGUUGAAAAUUAUUGAGUUCUGCAGUCUUCUAGGUUCAAUAACCCUUGUAAGUAUAUGUGAUUAUGGAGACUAUUAAAAACAAAUUGUUGAAUUAGGUAGCGAUUAUAUUUGAUUUCAGGUGGGAGAAAACGAUGUCAUUGAGUUGAGCUUUUCUCUGCGUUCAAAUUUGAUCUAUGUCCCAAUAAUUUUCUGUGAUCAGAUUACAGUUUACUGGCGUAAUGUCAGCAAACUCGUGCAAAGAAAACGUCAAUGGUAGUAAAACCAAAACGUCAAUGGUAGUAAAACCAAAUUAAAAAUAAUCAUGGAACAAGUUUACCAUACGUACGAAACCUGUUUAUCACAUAUACUAUAACAACACUUCAAAACAAGUCUACCACACCUCUGACUUUUUCAUAGAUUGCAGAAUACGUUUAGGACAAAAAAUAAUUUGCAUUGUAAAAAGUUGAAUGUCUACUAUUGUACAUAAGUGUACCACAAGCAAUGUAAAUAACUCCACCAUUAAUAAAAGACUACCAUCAAACUCAAUAUAAGUCUACCAGAUCGAGAUUAUCUGAGUAAAUACCAAAGUGUUAAAGUCUACCACAUCAAGCUCAAUAUAGGUCAACCAUAAGUGCAAUAACUCUACUAAAUUUUUCAAAAUCUACCACAAAAACAAACAAAUUUACCCAAUUUUUUUUUUUUUAAUUCUACCGUACCUAACAGUAAAUAUACCACAUUACAAAAUGAAAUCACCGACAUUUGAUUUGAAUUUAAAUCUACCACAUUGCUAAUAAAUCUACCAACCAUAUAUAAAUCUACCAACUUCAUAAUAAAUCUACCACAAAAAGAUAAAUCUACCGUUACGUUAACUUAAAUUUUAGUGAAUAACUCUACCAUCAAAAGGAAUAAGUCUACCAAUUCGGAUAAUAAAUCUACUCCCAUUGUCAACAAAUCUACCAACAAAGCCAAACAUUUCCAGUAAGUCAACAAAUUGGUCAAAAAGUCUACCUACAAAUAAAUAAGUGUGCCAUAAAUCACAAAAUAUCUACAAAAAAAAAACAAAUCUACCGUGUCCUUUGACGUAGACUUAUCAGAUGUUGGUCAACGCAAAUUUUUGGAUAGUAAAUUUAAGGACAGUAAACUUUUAAUUUUUUAAGCGACAUUUUUUGCCUACGUGGUACAAAAAAAUAAUGUCAUUUUUGUAAUUAGAUUUUUUCACCAAAGACAAAAAUGGUGUUUUGGAUAUGUUAGAUUAGUUUUGUAAUAAAAAAUAAAAGUGUGUCAAACAAACAAUAAAUAUAAUUUAAAAGUAUAAUAAUCCUCCUUUAAAAGUUUUAAUUUGGUUUAAUUAAGAAAUUGGAAAUCAGUUAGGAAAACGAAAAAUAAACCAAUUCUGGUUAGGUUUGGUUUCACAUUAACAUAUACAGAAGCAUAUAACAUUUUAGAUAUACCUAAAGAAAAUGCAUUCUCAUAAAAUAUCUUUCGCCAACAUAAAAAUAUUGAGUCAUAAGACAAUUGUGUUGGGCAGCUGUAAUAUGGAAGGUGCAUGAUAAAGCUCAAUUUGUUUUUCCUUUCAUUUUCUACAUAUUCAAUCCUUUUCAACAAAUCUCUAGUUUUUUUGUCAACUUUCAAUGUGAGGAAUUGCUUUAUUAUUAACAAGGACAAGAAUAUUAUCUAUGACGUAACAUAGAAUAUGGACAUCAAAAUUAAAUUAUGAUGGGUUUCAAAAACAAAGAAUCUCUUUGCAUCCUUACGUAUCUUGAAGGCAUUUUCCACUUUCAAAAAUAGAUAAAUUAAGCUUCGCAGUAAAUAAGUAUCUCCAGUGAAAAAAAUAUAAUAUAAAGUGUUAAUACAGAAACUACUGUAGUAAUUUAUAUGUUUGUUGGUAGGAAUCUAGGAUUCGACACUUAUUAAAAGAAAAAGAUUGUAGUGUGGACAUAAUUGCAACACGGUUCAAAAGACAUCGGAUCGGGACAAAACAAUUUCGAGCUAUAAUAACUUUUUUUUUAAAUGUAAUUAUUGGAAGGACAUAAGUAUUGUACAUAACAGUAGUAUAGCAUUCACGGUCAGUGUUAUAAAUACAAAAAAAUCAUAAUUAGCGAAUUUGUUUUUUUUUAAGUCACAGAUGGUCCCCACACGUGUGAUUCGGCACGAUACUUCCUAGGCUAAAAGCAUACCACUAGGCUUCCCUAUAUAACUUCACCUCCACCAACGAUGCAUGUUCGUCCUCAGAUCUCAUCUCACUCACAGGAGAAGAGAUAGAGAGAGACACAGGAAAAGUCUCAGUUUCUAUAUUAUUUACGAUAUACCCCUAAUAUGGCGGCUUCUGUAGAUAAUCGCCAGUACGCACGACUCGAACCAGGUUUAAACGGCGUCGUUCGCUCAUUCAAACCACCGGCUCCUCCGUCCCGGUCCGAUUCCCCAACCUCAACCCAGAACCAAACCGUGUUGUUUAAACCGGCUAUGAUACAAGAAGACGACGAAGACGUGUCAAGCGAUGACGAGAACGAAUCCGGUUACUACAAAGAGAUGAUACGCAAAUCCAACAGCGAGCUUGAGCCGUCGAUUCACGAUCCGAGAGACGAAUACACGGCUGACAGCUGGAUCGAGCGAAACCCUUCCAUGGUCCGUCUAACAGGGAAACAUCCCUUCAACUCCGAAGCUCCGCUCAACCAUUUAAUGCACCACGGGUUCAUCACACCCGUCCCGUUGCACUACGUCCGUAACCAUGGUCAUGUUCCUAAGGCCCAAUGGUCUGAAUGGACCGUUGAGGUUACCGGAUUUGUUAAACGCCCCAUGAAAUUCACCAUGGACCAGCUCGUUUCCGAGUUCACCUUCCGUGAGUUUGCCGCGACGUUGGUUUGCGCGGGGAACCGCCGAAAGGAGCAGAACAUGGUGAAGAAGUCUAAAGGCUUCAACUGGGGCUCUGCCGGAGUUUCCACCUCUGUGUGGCGUGGAGUUCCUCUUUGCGACGUACUACGUCACUGUGGAAUCUUUAGCCGGAAAGGCGGUGCGCUCAAUGUCUGCUUCGAAGGGUCGGAGGAUCUUCCUGGUGGUGCUGGAAGCGGUGGUUCCAAAUACGGAACGAGCAUCAAGAAAGAGUACGCCAUGGAUCCGUCAAGAGAUAUCAUUUUGGCUUAUAUGCAAAACGGAGAGUAUCUGACACCAGACCACGGGUUUCCGGUUCGAAUCAUAAUCCCCGGUUUCAUCGGUGGUCGGAUGGUUAAAUGGUUGAAGCGAAUCAUCGUCACCACUAAAGAAUCCGACAAUUUCUACCAUUUCAAAGAUAACAGAGUUCUUCCUUCGGACGUAGAUGCCGAACUCGCCGACGAAGAAGGUAUAAUCAAUUUCUAUUUGGUUCAACAAUAUUUGGUUUAAAAAUAAAGUUGGUGGAUGAUGUCAACUUCUUUGACUUUUAUAAUUUAAAUCUAAAUUUUUUUUUCUUUUCAGGUUGGUGGUAUAAACCGGAGUACAUAAUCAACGAGCUUAACAUAAACUCCGUGAUUACGACGCCAUGUCACGAGGAGAUUCUUCCCAUCAAUGCUUUCACAACUCAGAGACCUUACACUUUAAAGGGCUACGCAUAUUCCGGUACUGUUAAUAUAAAAAUUAUCAUUCUAAAUACAUUUGUUUACUUAUGGGAAGAUUAAUUAAUAAGAACAAUGGCUAUAUAUACACAAAAAAAAGGAGGAGGAAAGAAAGUGACACGUGUCGAGGUGACAAUGGAUGGUGGAGAGACAUGGAACGUGUGUACGCUUGACCAUCAAGAGAAACCAAACAAGUAUGGUAAAUUUUGGUGCUGGUGUUUCUGGUCACUUGAAGUUGAGGUUUUGGACUUGCUUGGUGCCAAAGAGAUCGCUGUUCGCGCUUGGGAUGAGACUCUCAACACUCAGCCUGAAAAAAUGAUCUGGAAUCUUAUGGUACGUGUCUCCAAACACACCCCAUGGUUUUAAAUUUGUUACUGAUCGGUUAAAGAAUUAACGAAACGACAUCGUUGUAAAACAGGGGAUGAUGAAUAACUGUUGGUUCAGAGUGAAGACUAAUGUGUGCAAGCCACAUAAAGGAGAGAUUGGGAUCGUGUUCGAGCAUCCAACUCUUCCAGGCAACGAAUCGGGUGGAUGGAUGGCUAAGGAACGUCACUUGGAGAAAUCCGCUGACGCGCCUUCAACGCUCAAGAAAUCUGUCUCGACACCAUUCAUGAACACAACUGCUAAGAUGUACUCAAUGUCGGAAGUCAAGAAGCAUAAUUCUGCUGAUUCUUGUUGGAUCAUCGUUCAUGGUCACAUCUAUGACUGUACCAAGUUCCUUAAGGACCAUCCGGGUGGUUCAGAUUCGAUCUUGAUCAAUGCUGGGAUGGACUGUACGGAGGAGUUUGAGGCGAUUCACUCUGAUAAAGCCAAGAAGAUGCUUGAGGAUUAUCGUAUCGGAGAGCUAAUUUCAACCGGCUAUUCCUCAGACUCUUCUUCGCCAAACACUUCGGUUCACGGUGGCUCAGCCGUAUUCUCGCUCUUGGCUCCGAUUGGAGAGUCAACUCCUGUUAGAAACAUCGCUUUGGUUAACCCACGGGCUAAAGUCCCAGUUCAACUUGUCGAAAAGACAUCAAUUUCUCACGAUGUUCGUAAAUUCCGCUUUGCUUUACCGGUUGAAGAUAUGGUUCUUGGUUUACCGGUUGGUAAGCAUAUCUUUCUCUGCGCCACAAUUAAUGACAAGCUCUGCCUAAGGGCUUACACACCGAGCAGCACUAUUGAUGUGGUUGGCUACUUCGAGCUCGUGGUCAAGAUUUACUUUGGUGGAGUCCAUCCGAGAUUCCCCAAUGGUGGGCUCAUGUCUCAGUACCUAGACUCGUUGCCUCUCGAGUCAACUUUGGAGAUUAAAGGACCAUUGGGUCAUGUUGAGUAUCUAGGCAAUGGUGAAUUCACGGUUCAUGGUAAAUCAAAAUUUGCUGAAAAAUUAGCAAUGGUGGCAGGUGGAACCGGUAUAACCCCGAUAUACCAAAUCAUGCAAGCCAUUUUGAAGGAUCCAGAGGAUGAGACUCAAAUGUAUUUGGUUUAC
rnacentral:lncRNA from 1 species